rnacentral:rRNA from 1 species
CGAACGCGAGAGCCCAGCAAUGGGUAAUCGAGUGGCAAACGGGUGAGUAACACGUGGGUGACCUGCCUUCGAGUGGGGGAUAACGUCCCGAAAGGGACGCUAAUACCGCAUAACAUGCUGUCUUUGAAUAUAUGGACAUCAAAGCCGGGGACCGCAAGGCCUGGCGCUUGAAGAGGGGCCCGCGCCUGAUUAGCUAGUUGGUGGGGUAAUGGCUCACCAAGGCAACGAUCAGUAUCCGGCCUGAGAGGGCGGACGGACACACUGGGACUGAGACACGGCCCAGACUCCUACGGGAGGCAGCAGUGGGGAAUUGUUCGCAAUGGGCGCAAGCCUGACGACGCAACGCCGCGUGGAGGAUGAAGAUUUUCGGAUCGUAAACUCCUUUCGAUCGAGACGAAUGACCCUUGGGCUAAUAUCCUGAGGGAGUGACGGUACCGAGAGAAGAAGCCCCGGCUAACUCCGUGCCAGCAGCCGCGGUAAUACGGGGGGGGCAAGCGUUGUUCGGAAUUACUGGGCGUAAAGGGCUCGUAGGCGGCCAAUUAAGUCAGACGUGAAAUCCCUCGGCUCAACCGGGGAACUGCGUCUGAUACUGGUUGGCUUGAGUUCGGGAGAGGGAUGCGGAAUUCCAGGUGUAGCGGUGAAAUGCGUAGAUAUCUGGAGGAACACCGGUGGC